ACGCUCGACACCUACGGAGGCAGCAGUGGGGAAUAUUGCACAAUGGGGGAAACCCUGAUGCAGCGACGCCGCGUGAGCGAAGAAGUAUUUCGGUAUGUAAAGCUCUAUCAGCAGGGAAGAAACUGACGGUACCUGACUAAGAAGCACCGGCUAAAUACGUGCCAGCAGCUGCGUAAUCUGAGGCGGGCUGGCAAGGC
rnacentral:rRNA from 1 species